CGUCAGCCUGCAAGGCACCUGUAAGAAGAGCACCCUUGAGGAAUUUCAAGAUUUGGAAUUAACUCUAACCAUGCGAUUUUAGAAAAGGAAUUGAGAUUCAGUAUCACCAAGGUAAGCACGGCUAACUCAAAUUAAC